rnacentral:rRNA from 1 species
UGGGGAAUUUUGGACAAUGGGGGCAACCCUGAUCCAGCAAUGCCGCGUGUGUGAAGAAGGCCUGCGGGUUGUAAAGCACUUUAGGUGGGGAGGAAGGCUUAUUGGUUAAUAACCAAUAGGAUUGACGUUACCCACAGAAUAAGCACCGGCUAACUCUGUGCCAGCAGCCGCGGUAAUACAGAGGGUGCAAGCGUUAAUCGGAAUUAUUGGGCGUAAAGCGCAUGUAGGUGGUUAGAUAAGUUUGAUGUGAAAUCCCCGGGCUUAACCUGGGAAUUGCGUUGAAUACUGUUUGACUAGAGUCGGACAGAGGGUCGUGGAAUUUCCGGUGUAGCGGUGAAAUGCGUAGAGAUCGGAAAGAACACCAGUGGCGAAGGCGGCGACCUGGGUCCAGACUGACACUGAGGUGCGAAAGCGUGGGGAGCAAACAG